rnacentral:rRNA from 1 species
AGACCCGAAACCCGGUGAUCUAGCCAUGGGCAGGUUGAAGGUUGGGUAACACUAACUGGAGGACCGAACCGACUAAUGUUGAAAAAUUAGCGGAUGACCUGUGGCUGGGGGUGAAAGGCCAAUCAAACCGGGAGAUAGCUGGUUCUCCCCGAAAGCUAUUUAGGUAGCGCCUCGUGAAUUCAUCUCCGGGGGUAGAGCACUGUUUCGGCUAGGGGGCCAUCCCGGCUUACCAACCCGAUGCAAACUGCGAAUACCGGAGAAUGUUAUCACGGGAGACACACGGCGGGUGCUAACGUCCGUCGUGAAGAGGGAAACAACCCAGACCGCCAGCUAAGGUCCCAAAGUCAUGGUUAAGUGGGAAACGAUGUGGGAAGGCCCAGACAGCCAGGAUGUUGGCUUAGAAGCAGCCAUCAUUUAAAGAAAGCGUAAUAGCUCACUGGUCGAGUCGGCCUGCGCGGAAGAUGUAACGGGGCUAAACCAUGCACCGAAGCUGCGGCAGCGACACUCAGGUGUUGUUGGGUAGGGGAGCGUUCUGUAAGCCUGUGAAGGUGGCCUGUGAGGGUUGCUGGAGGUAUCAGAAGUGCGAAUGCUGACAUAAGUAACGAUAAAGCGGGUGAAAAGCCCGCUCGCCGGAAGACCAAGGGUUCCUGUCCAACGUUAAUCGGGGCAGGGUGAGUCGACCCCUAAGGCGAGGCCGAAAGGCGUAGUCGAUGGGAAACGGGUUAAUAUUCCCGUACUUGGUGUUACUGCGAAGGGGGGACGGAGAAGGCUAUGUUGGCCGGGCGACGGUUGUCCCGGUUUAAGCGUGUAGGCUGGUUUUCCAGGCAAAUCCGGAAAAUCAAGGCUGAGGCGUGAUGACGAGGCACUACGGUGCUGAAGCAACAAAUGCCCUGCUUCCAGGAAAAGCCUCUAAGCAUCAGGUAACAUCAAAUCGUACCCCAAACCGACACAGGUGGUCAGGUAGAGAAUACCAAGGCGCUUGAGAGAACUCGGGUGAAGGAACUAG